rnacentral:rRNA from 1 species
UUAGGAAUCUUCCCCAAUGGACGAAAGUCUGAGGGAGCGACGCCGCGUGAGGGAUGAAGGUUCUCGGAUCGUAAACCUCUGAAUCAGGGACGAAAGGCCACGGCAAGUGGAGAUGACGGUACCUGAGUAAUAGCACCGGCUAACUCCGUGCCAGCAGCCGCGGUAAUACGGAGGGUGCAAGCGUUACCCGGAAUCACUGGGCGUAAAGGGCGUGUAGGCGGCCUACCAAGUCUGGUUUUAAAGCCUGCGGCUCAACCGCAGAGAUGGACUGGAGACUGGUAGGCUAGACCUCUGGAGAGAGAACUGGAAUUCCUGGUGUAGCGGUGGAAUGCGUAGAUACCAGGAGGAACACCGAUGGCGAAGGCAGGUUCUUGGACAGAAGGUGACGCUGAGGCGCGAAAGUGUGGGGAGCAAACCG